UACGUAGGUGGCAAGCGUUAUCCGGAUUUAUUGGACGUAAAGGGAACGCAGGCGGUCUUUUAAGUCUGAUGUGAAAGCCUUCGGCUUAACCGGAGUAGUGCAUUGGAAACUGGGAGACUUGAGUGCAGAAGAGGAGAGUGGAACUCCAUGUGUAGCGGUGAAAUGCGUAGAUAUAUGGAAGAACACCAGUGGCGAAAGCGGCUCUCUGGUCUGUAACUGACGCUGAGGUUCGAAAGCGUGGGUAGCAAACAGG
rnacentral:rRNA from 1 species